ACAUCGAGAUUAGCAAAUUGUUUAAGUAAUCGUCGCAGUUAAUAAGUUCGAGUUAACUUCAGUGUCUUCGGAUCUGAACCUUCGAUGGUGAUGAUAUUAGAUUGCAUCAGUUUGCAGGAUUUACAGAUGAAAUGUCUGUUUUUUUAAAAACCAUUUAUAAAAUAUCAGUUACCAUUGAAAAUUUGAGUAUUUUUAGUUCAGUGUGUAAUUAGUUUCAAAUUGGAAGAAAUGAAAAAUUUACAUAUUACGAGAUCAUCGUACAAUCGAUGCAUAUUUCUUUUGGUUUUCGUCAUUUCCGAUUCUUUUCGUUGAUUAAGACGGGAACGAGGACGAAACGUAAAAAUUAGAGAAACUCCAUCUUCCGACAAUUUCUCAAACUUUCCAUCUCUCUCAUCUAUCGAGCAUCUUAUUCUCUUUCAUAAGAUAUUUCCUAUAGAAAUGAAAAACUACAAUAUUUAUGAGACGAUCUGGAAUCUGCGUGUGAGACGUGCUUUCUUUCGAAGUUGAAUUCAUUAAAUUUCACGCUGUCGUUGAUUGGUGCACAGCAGAUUAAAGAAGGAGAAACUUUCUGUAACACACGUGAAUUAAAUGCUAACAAUGUUAUCGAACGUAAUUCUUUCGAAUGUGGAUAAUGUAUCGUAAAAAUUGUUGGCAGUUUUAAAUUUAGUACUUCAACGGGCUUAUGUAAAUGUUAAGACAAUUCAACAAGUUGGUUCGUGAAAUCCAAGGCUGAUGAUUGUUCAUCAAACAAUGAACGAAAAGAGGAAGUUGGAAGAAUGCCAUUGACGAUAAUUACUUGUAAAUUAACUAAUCCACGACGAACAGCAAGAAAAAUAGCGCUUCAGACAAUGAUUUCCUGCAGAUGCGUGAAAAUUUGUAGUACCAUGAUAAUAGGAAAAGAAAGUGAAAAAUAGAAGGACGAGGAAGUAAAGAAAAUGGAAAAUGGAAAAAGGAAUAGAGAAGCAAGUGAAAGGAUUAGAGUUACUUAUUAGAUCACAUAUUAGAAAGGAAAAAAGCGUAAAAAAUAAGGAAAAGAACUAAAAAAAAAAAAAAGGUAAAGAAAAUGAAGAAUGAAAAGGAUACCGGAAAAAUUGAAAACAAUAGAAAAGGUAGAGAAAAAUGAAUAAAUUAAAAAGAAAUGAUACGUAGAUACAAAUGAAAAAGUGAAGAAAGUCGAUAAAUGGAUCCACGUGAGUCAAACGGUAAACAAAAGCUUAAACGAGAUAGUCGUCAAAUAGAAGAUAGUCAUCAGAGAUAGAUUUUUAAGGCAGUUUUUUUACUCGUGACAAAACUCGUGAUAUUAUACAAUAUUCGGAAACGUGUUUGAGAGAUAGCGAUGAAUAUGUAGUCGUUAAAGAGGCAAUGCUUGAUAAAGAUAAACGUGCAAAACACGUGCCAAAAGCACUGUUUCGUUUGAAGAAGAUAAUAAUCGCUUGGUGAUCGUCUGCAGAAUGGCAUUACCAUUUCUUACAAACAAGGAUUAUAAUUAUCUCAUAAAAAGAAACAUAUUGUAAAUCAGAUAAAAUGCAUAUGGAAUUGAUAAAGCAGCAAUCCGCACUAGUGACACAAUUGGAAAUUAAUUCUAUUGUGCAUAAAGUAACGUUUAAGAACAAUUACGUAAUCACGUGUAAAUAUUAGUAAUAUAUAACAGUAAUUAGAUCAAUGAUUAUAUUAACAAUAUUAUUCGAUAUAGUAAAUAUAGUGAACUACACUAUUGUACUAGCUUACUACAUUAAUAUAGGGGAUAAAACUUAACUUUUAAAUUUAGUGAACGAUAAUAAAAUGUAAUGAAUUAUAAUGCUUAACUUAACUGCUUAAAUUAUAUGCUAAUAUAUAUAAGAUGGUGGCAUAAUGGUACUCAGCCACGAUUUGAAUAAGAAAUAUAAAGAUAUUUGUUCUGCUGGCAUGAAGACAUCAUUAAUGCAUAAUUGACAAAAAAUAUUGUGAGAUAUUCACCGAGAUACUGAACUUAAAAUGUCACAUGUAACAGAUAACCUUAGGGUAGAUAUAAUACUGUAUAUAUUACUAUAAUCCCAUUGGUAUGACAGAAAGUAAAUGUAUUAUUUAUAAUUCAUUUUAAUAAGAUGCUGACGGCAGAAAGUUGACAGCGAUCGUGAAAGUAGCUUACAAGGCUCGCAAAUACUUUCUCAAUGUAAUCAUCGAAAUGAUUAAGUUAUGUAAGAAAGUGGCAACAUUCGAAGAUAUAAAUUUUUAAUCGGACAAAGCCCGAAUGAAUGAGGCAACAGGUCGAACGAUGACACUCCGUAAUAUAUUUCGUUCAACGUGUUUCUGUACUUCUGGUCUAAUAUUAUUAUUUAACAUUGACGAGAUAUUACUUUGUAAUGUUUAAUAUUAAUUAUUUGAUAUCUAACGUCACUUUAUAAUCUAUACAUAAUUUAUAUUUAUCGUAUCGGCGUGCGAUAAAUUUUUAAAUCUUUUUUCCUCGGAAGCAAAGCGUCUUGUGAAAAAUUGCUAUUCUGUAUCUUCGACUUAUUUUCCAUCGACAUAGCGUAAGAGAAGACCGACGAUAUAUCUUUUAAUUUUGUCUCAUAGUGUGUCUCAUUUUUUGUAGAAUUGAAACCGAUAAAGGGUUGAUUCUAUCAUGUAAUAAACUUUUUGCUGAUCUUUUCUCACUUUAGCGAGUGGCUUGUGCGACAGUAAAGCAUUCAGCUAAGCCGAAUGCAUUAUUAAUUUUUUGUAUGGAAGUUCUCGACGAAUAAGAACUGAGUGGCGUGACUUGUAUCUGAUAAUCUGAGAGGCCGCAGAAUUGGUCCACCUCUGCUUAUUCACGAUCGAGGUCAAUCCUCAUUUACGACCAUUGUAUCAAACAAAUUUUCAUCUUUAACUUGAAUUUUAAAUUAUAAAUUAUUGAAUAUUAGCUUAAAAUAGAUAUAUUCGAUGAAAUGUAUAAAAUUAUAUUUUUUUAAAUAUCUUAUAACUGUUUCUUUUCAUAUAUUUCACAGGUAAUUAAUCGAGCUUUUAGUAAGUUUAAAUAAUGCUUAAAUAAUACCUAAUAUAUUAUAAUUUGUAAUAAAGAACGUUUAAAAGAUUUGGAGUGAUUAAAUAACACAGAGCGUAAUGAUUUAAUUAUAACACCUAUGAAAGUAACUUUUCCAAGCAUUCUGCCAUUUAAUAUAAUCAAGUGGAAAAUAAUCGCUGCUGUGUACUUAAAC